GGUUAAGCGACUAAGCGUACACGGUGGAUGCCCUGGCAGUCAGAGGCGAUGAAGGACGUGCUAAUCUGCGAAAAGCGCCGGCGAGGUGAUAUGAACCUUUGACCCGGCGAUGUCCGAAUGGGGAAACCCAGUGUGUUCCGACACACUAUCGUUAACUGAAUACAUAGGUUAACGAGGCGAACCGGGGGAACUGAAACAUCUAAGUACCCCGAGGAAAAGAAAUCAACCGAGAUUCCCCCAGUAGCGGCGAGCGAACGGGGAGCAGCCCAGAGUCUGAAUCAGCUUGUGUGUUAGUGGAAGCGUCUGGAAAGUCGCACGGUACAGGGUGACAGUCCCGUACACGAAAGCACACAGGUUGUGAACUCGAAGAGUAGGGCGGGACACGUGGUAUCCUGUCUGAAUAUGGGGGGACCAUCCUCCAAGGCUAAAUACUCCUGACUGACCGAUAGUGAACCAGUACCGUGAGGGAAAGGCGAAAAGAACCCCGGCGAGGGGAGUGAAAAAGAACCUGAAACCGUGUACGUACAAGCAGUGGGAGCCUCUUUUAUGGGGUGACUGCGUACCUUUUGUAUAAUGGGUCAGCGACUUAUAUUCUGUAGCAAGGUUAACCGUAUAGGGGAGCCGAAGGGAAACCGAGUCUUAACUGGGCGUUAAGUUGCAGGGUAUAGACCCGAAACCCGGUGAUCUAGCCAUGGGCAGGUUGAAGGUUGGGUAACACUAACUGGAGGACCGAACCGACUAAUGUUGAAAAAUUAGCGGAUGACUUGUGGCUGGGGGUGAAAGGCCAAUCAAACCGGGAGAUAGCUGGUUCUCCCCGAAAGCUAUUUAGGUAGCGCCUCGUGAACUCAUCUUCGGGGGUAGAGCACUGUUUCGGCUAGGGGGCCAUCCCGGCUUACCAACCCGAUGCAAACUACGAAUACCGAAGAAUGUUAUCACGGGAGACACACGGCGGGUGCUAACGUCCGUCGUGAAGAGGGAAACAACCCAGACCGCCAGCUAAGGUCCCAAAGUCAUGGUUAAGUGGGAAACGAUGUGGGAAGGCACAGACAGCCAGGAUGUUGGCUUAGAAGCAGCCAUCAUUUAAAGAAAGCGUAAUAGCUCACUGGUCGAGUCGGCCUGCGCGGAAGAUGUAACGGGGCUAAACCAUGCACCGAAGCUGCGGCAGCGACGCUUAUGCGUUGUUGGGUAGGGGAGCGUUCUGUAAGCCGUUGAAGGUGUCCUGUGAGGGGUGCUGGAGGUAUCAGAAGUGCGAAUGCUGACAUAAGUAACGAUAAAGCGGGUGAAAAGCCCGCUCGCCGGAAGACCAAGGGUUCCUGUCCAACGUUAAUCGGGGCAGGGUGAGUCGACCCCUAAGGCGAGGCCGAAAGGCGUAGUCGAUGGGAAACAGGUUAAUAUUCCUGUACUUGGUGUUACUGCGAAGGGGGGACGGAGAAGGCUAUGUUAGCCGGGCGACGGUUGUCCCGGUUUAAGCAUGUAGGCGGAACGAUUAGGUAAAUCCGGUCGUUUAUUAACGCUGAGGUGUGAUGACGAGGCACUACGGUGCUGAAGUAACAAAUGCCCUGCUUCCAGGAAAAGCCUCUAAGCAUCAGGUAACAUCAAAUCGUACCCCAAACCGACACAGGUGGUCAGGUAGAGAAUACCAAGGCGCUUGAGAGAACUCGGGUGAAGGAACUAGGCAAAAUGGUGCCGUAACUUCGGGAGAAGGCACGCUGAUAUGUAGGUGAAGCCCCUGCGGGUGGAGCUGAAAUCAGUCGAAGAUACCAGCUGGCUGCAACUGUUUAUUAAAAACACAGCACUGUGCAAACACGAAAGUGGACGUAUACGGUGUGACGCCUGCCCGGUGCCGGAAGGUUAAUUGAUGGGGUUAGCGGUAACGCGAAGCUCUUGAUCGAAGCCCCGGUAAACGGCGGCCGUAACUAUAACGGUCCUAAGGUAGCGAAAUUCCUUGUCGGGUAAGUUCCGACCUGCACGAAUGGCGUAAUGAUGGCCAGGCUGUCUCCACCCGAGACUCAGUGAAAUUGAACUCGCUGUGAAGAUGCAGUGUACCCGCGGCAAGACGGAAAGACCCCGUGAACCUUUACUAUAGCUUGACACUGAACACUGGUCCUUGAUGUGUAGGAUAGGUGGGAGGCUUUGAAGCGUGGACGCCAGUCUGCGUGGAGCCAACCUUGAAAUACCACCCUUUAAUGGCUGGUGUUCUAACGUAGACCCGUAAUCCGGGUUGCGGACAGUGUCUGGUGGGUAGUUUGACUGGGGCGGUCUCCUCCCAAAGAGUAACGGAGGAGCACGAAGGUUAGCUAAUCCUGGUCGGACAUCAGGAGGUUAGUGCAAUGGCAUAAGCUAGCUUGACUGCGAGAGUGACGGCUCGAGCAGGUGCGAAAGCAGGUCAUAGUGAUCCGGUGGUUCUGAAUGGAAGGGCCAUCGCUCAACGGAUAAAAGGUACUCCGGGGAUAACAGGCUGAUACCGCCCAAGAGUUCAUAUCGACGGCGGUGUUUGGCACCUCGAUGUCGGCUCAUCACAUCCUGGGGCUGAAGUAGGUCCCAAGGGUAUGGCUGUUCGCCAUUUAAAGUGGUACGCGAGCUGGGUUUAGAACGUCGUGAGACAGUUCGGUCCCUAUCUGCCGUGGGCGCUGGAGAAUUGAGGGGGGCUGCUCCUAGUACGAGAGGACCGGAGUGGACGCAUCACUGGUGUUCGGGUUGUCAUGCCAAUGGCACUGCCCGGUAGCUAAAUGCGGAAGAGAUAAGUGCUGAAAGCAUCUAAGCACGAAACUUGCCCCGAGAUGAGUUCUCCCUGAGACUUUAAGUCUCCUGAAGGAACGUUGAAGACUACGACGUUGAUAGGUCGGGUGUGUAAGCGCAGCGAUGCGUUGAGCUAACCGAUACUAAUGAACCGUGAGGCUUAACCUU
rnacentral:rRNA from 1 species